GAGUAGGAUGCACCUAGAUAUAAUCUGAUUUUGGUAGAAAAAGAGAAGUCCUAUGUAAUUUGUGAGACUGAGUUUAGAAAAUCUUUGACCAAAGUAAGUGUGAAUACUGAAAAAAAAAUUUCAUAAAAUUUAUGAGUAAAUUCGAGUCGAGCCAAUUUGGCAUAUGACUGACAUUGAAGUUUAAUGACCUCUAUCAAGUUGAAACUCAUGAUAGAAGAACUGAAUCAGAUGGUAACUAUACCUA
rnacentral:lncRNA from 1 species